GAUGAACGCUGGCGGCGUGCUUAACACAUGCAAGUCGAACGGUGAACGAGGGAGCUUGCUCCCUCCGGAUCAGUGGCGAACGGGUGAGUAACACGUGAGCAAUCUGCCCUGGACUCUGGGAUAAGCGUUGGAAACGACGUCUAAUACCGGAUACGAGGCGUGGGGGCAUCCCCAACGCCUGGAAAGAACUUCGGUCCAGGAUGAGCUCGCGGCCUAUCAGCUAGUUGGUGAGGUAACGGCUCACCAAGGCGACGACGGGUAGCCGGCCUGAGAGGGUGACCGGCCACACUGGGACUGAGACACGGCCCAGACUCCUACGGGAGGCAGCAGUGGGGAAUAUUGCACAAUGGGGGAAACCCUGAUGCAGCGACGCCGCGUGGAGGAAGAAGGUUUUCGGAUUGUAAACUCCUGUCGUAAGGGACGAUAAUGGCGGUACCUUACAAGAAAGCCACGGCUAACUACGUGCCAGCCGCCGCUGUAAUAC
rnacentral:rRNA from 1 species